GGGUUGUCCGAUUAUUGGGCGUAAGGGCUCGCAGGCGGUUUCUUAAGUCUGAUGUGAAAGCCCCCGGCUCAACCGGGGAGGGUCAUUGGAAACUGGGAAACUUGAGUGCAGAAGAGGAGAGUGGAAUUCCACGUGUAGCGGUGAAAUGCGUAGAGAUGUGGAGGAACACCAGUGGCGAAGGCGACUCUCUGGUCUGUAACUGACGCUGAGGAGCGAAAGCGUGGGGAGCGAACAGGAUUAGAUACCCUGGUAGUCCACGCCGUAAACGAUGAGUGCUAAGUGUUAGGGGGUUUCCGCCCCUUAGUGCUGCAGCUAACGCAUUAAGCACUCCGCCUGGGGAGUACGGUCGCAAGACUGAAACUCAAAGGAAUUGACGG
rnacentral:rRNA from 1 species